rnacentral:rRNA from 1 species
GGCAUAUUGGGCAAUGGGGGAAACCCUGACCCAGCAACGCCGCGUGAGGGAAGAAGGUUUUCGGAUCGUAAACCUCUGUCCUUGGUGAAGAGGACGAGACGGUAGCCAAGGAGGACGCCCCGGCUAACUACGUGCCAGCAGCCGCGGUAAUACGUAGGGGGCGAGCGUUGUCCGGAAUGAUUGGGCGUAAAGGGCGCGUAGGCGGCCUGUUAAGUCUGGAGUGAAAGUCCUGUUUUCAAGAUGGGAAUUGCUUUGGAUACUGAUGGGCUUGAGUGCAGGAGAGGUUAUCGGAAUUCCCGGUGUAGCGGUGAAAUGCGUAGAGAUCGGGAGGAACACCAGUGGCGAAGGCGGGUAACUGGACUGCAACUGACGCUGAGGCGCGAAAGUGUGGGGAGCAAACA